GAUGAACGCUAGCGGCAUGCUUAAUACAUGCAAGUCGUGCGGCAGCAGCACUUUAGCAAUACAGUUGCUGGCGACCGGCAAACGGGUGCGGAACACGUACGCAACUUACCCUGAACUGGGGGAUAGCCCGGGGAAACCCGGAUUAAUACCCCGUAAUAUAAUGUAGUGGCAUCACUUUAUUAUUAAAGCUCCGGCGUUUCGGGAUGGGCGUGCGGCUGAUUAGGUCGUUGGUUGAGGUAACGGCUCAUCAAGCCCACGAUCAGUAAAUCGUGGGAGAGCACGACCAGUGACACGGGAACAGAGACACCGGCCCGGCUACUACGGCAGGCAGCAGUAAGGAAUAUGGGGCAAUGGAGGCAACUCUGACCCAGCCAUGCCGAGUGGAGGAUGAAGGCCCUCUGGGUUGUAAACAUCUUUUAUAGGGGAAGAAACCUGUGUAUUCUUACGCAGUUGACGGUACCCGAGGAAUAAGCACCGGCUAACUCCGUG
rnacentral:rRNA from 1 species